rnacentral:rRNA from 1 species
AGUGGGGAAUAUUGCGCAAUGGGGGAAACCCUGACGCAGCAACGCCGCGUGAAUGAAGAAGGCCUUAGGGUUGUAAAGUUCUGUUUACGGGGACGAUAAUGACGGUACCCGUGGAGGAAGCCACGGCUAACUACGUGCCAGCAGCCGCGGUAAUACGUAGGUGGCAAGCGUUGUCCGGAUUUACUGGGCGUAAAGGAUGCGUAGGCGGAUGUUUAAGUGAGAUGUGAAAUACCCGGGCUCAACUUGGGUGCUGCAUUUCAAACUGGACAUCUAGAGUGCGGGAGAGGAAAGCGGAAUUCCUAGUGUAGCGGUGAAAUGCGUAGAGAUUAGGAAGAACACCAGUGGCGAAGGCGGCUUUCUGGACCGUAACUGACGCUGAGGCAUGAAAGCGUGGGGAGCAAA